ACCACGAAUUCCCCAGGUUGGGAGCACCAGGAAAGACCCCACAGAUGGAAUUCCAGGACAUCAGGGGGGUCCCCUCCCUGGAAAGGUACUUCUGAUAUUUUUGGAAAUCUGGGAGAACUGAGAAGAGUGUGACACAAAAUCCAAGAAUCUCUGGAAUUCCCUAUUUUAAUCUGUGAUAUUUUUCCACUUUGAAAGAGUGGGAAGGCUUCGAAAGAGCAAAAUCCUCAAAUGUGACCGACACCAAAUGUCAGAACGAGCUGGGAACAAAAUGCAUUGUUCCAUUUCCAUCUUCUCCUGAAAAAAUGAGUGCACAGAGGCCAAAUCCAAUGGAAUCUCACAAAACAUUUGCUUUUAAUGCAGCUGCACAUGAAAAUUCCACAAAUGAGAGCAGAAUUAUCCCUCUCUCUGCAUUCCCAGACUCCAGGAAAUGAAAAGCUUCCCAGUAACUCUGUAACCUCUGGGCUGGGUUUGUCCUGUUCCCAUCGCUGCAGUGAAGUUCUGCACUUGGUGUUCAGCAUAAAAUCAUCAGAGCAGGGAUGUUUUGCUCAACUCCAGCUCAAAAUUUUGGAAUUUGGGCAUUGUGAACACGAAUUUCUGACGGAAAUCAAGGGAUCCACAGAGCAGCCAAGGGGGUGGGGAUGGCCCAGAGCUGCUGAGUUCUUCUCCUGUAGAUUUGUGACAUUUUAGUGUUGCAGAAGUCGAUGUUUCCACAACAGAAACAGCAAUUUGGGCACCAAAGGACACAAAUGAAGCGAAUUUCAACAUCAACGAGGAGCUCCUUGUUUGCAGUCUGGAUCCUGCUGAGAGAGCAAACACCGGGUCCCACCGUGUUGUGUUCAGUGUGAGUUUCUUCUCCCCUUCCCCUCUUUAUCCAGAUUUUCCAAUUAAUAUUUCUAUGGUGUGAUUAAAGUAGCACAUUCCUGGCUUUGGACUCUCUCCCUUGCAGCCCACCGGGUGUGAAUCUGGAAAGUUCCAUCCCCGACAUUGUGAACAAUAUUAAUUAAUUGUCAGCUGUUCUCCCCGCUCCUCAUCUUGUGUGAGCCUUUUAUCAGGAUUAAAUGUCACACCACAGAUGGGGACAUUGGCAGUGGGUGCUUCAUUUGAAUGAAAUCUCCAGAUUCUGCCUGGGUUUGAGGGGAGCAGGGUGGGAUUUCGGAGCCCCCGUGCUCCCUGUGCUCACCCACCCUUCCCUGCCCCGCUCCCCGGGAGCUCUGUCCCGAUUCCAGCGUGUUCAGAGUUCCCAGCCAGGCUGCACAGAUUGCCCGUGCCUGUGUUCCUGUUCCUCAGGAAGGAGGAGAGGAUGAUGCUCCCCUUGCUCAUCCCUCCCCUGCCAGGAGCUCUCUCCCAGCAGGGUCAGAUCCUCCUCAGGAGGGGGUUCAGGAGCUGCUGCUUCAUUCUGCUGUGACUCAGAGGCUGCUCAGGCCCCAAUUUCUGUCCCUCUGUCCCCAAACCUGCUGUGCUGGUGCUGCUUUGUCACCUCAGCCCCUCCAGGAGCUGCUCCCGGGCACCUGCCCGUGAGGGACUGUGCAGGUGAUGCCAGGCCCUGCCCCUGCGGGAUUUCAGGGACCCUCUGAACUUCUCUGGGUACAAAGACCUGAGCAAAACCUCUUUUUUUGUUCCCUCUGAGCAUCCGAACGAGCAGAGCCUCAAAUCUCCUGAAGAAGCCCAAAAUAAAAAUGCCAAACUCAACAUCUGAAUGUGCCGUGCCCAGGAGUAAAAUCUCAGCAACUCCUUUUGAGCUCAUUCCUUAGAGAAAUUCCCUGUGGAUUGGGACAUGAAGAGUUCCACUGCUCAAUGAACUGAUUUUGAGCACAGGAGGAGGUCUCAGUGUCUCUCAGGGCCACCUGUGCCACCCUACCUUUAGACAUUGCCACCAAAGCUGCUGUGCAGAGCAAACAACUUCAAACUUCUGAAGGUUGUGCCAUCCCUUGGUUGCCCCCGGGCCUGUCUAUUUUCUGCUCCAGAGGAGAUGACACAGUCCAUAAAUCUCUGCCCUAGUCCCUGCUUUGGUAAAUAAAAUCUGCUCAGAUUUAUGUUCAUCCCUUCCUGAGGAAAAGCAAAGCAGUGAUACGUGUGGCAAAUGGAACAGAAAAUUGCUUUUCACCCAUUGAGUUUCCAGUGUGACUGACUCAAGUUUGGGCUCUCCUACAGCACUCUCUGGUCUCACAAAUAAAUUCAAUUUUGCACCAGGAUUCUUGGUGUUAUGCUGAGGCAAAGCAAAGAUGUGCUUUGCCCAAUAAGUUUAGUAAGUGGCUGCAAACUGAGAGCAGGUUUAGGGUGGAUGUUGGGCAGGAAUUGUUCCCUGGGAGGGUGGGCAGGCCCUGGCACAGGUGCCCAGAGCAGCUGUGGCUGCCCCUGGAUCCCUGGCAGUGCCCAAGGCCAGGCUGGACAGGGCUGGAGCAGCCUGGGACAGUGAGAGGUGAUUUGGGGUUGGAACUGGGUGAGGUUUGAGCUCUUUCACCCCAAACCAUUCUGGGAUUCUCUGAUUCCAGGGAAUGAAGAUCACACCGCUGCCUCAGAGAGGGAGUGAAGGGAAUCUUCACUUUAUUUUGUGUUUAUUUUGGCAGAGCUUUAGCUGUGCUACUGAGCCUCCAGAAAUCCAGGCCCUCCCUCCUGCCAGGUGCAGGAGAUCCCUGUGCCUGGCCAGGGGCUAUUUUAACCCUGUUAAAUAAACUUGGCUGGGGAAGCUGCUGCUGAAAAACAAUUUAUGAACUCGGCAUCUCACCCCUCUGCCCAGCCAGUUCUGAAUUGCUCCCUUUCAUCCUCUCCAGCUGUAAUUCAUGUUGCCUAAUUAAUCGUAAUUAAGUGUU